UAUUAGUGGGGGACAACAUCUCGAAAGGGAUGCUAAUACCGCAUACGUCCUACGGGAGAAAGCAGGGGAUCACUUGUGACCUUGCGCUAAUAGAUGAGCCUAAGUCGGAUUAGCUAGUUGGUGGGGUAAAGGCCUACCAAGGCGACGAUCUGUAGCGGGUCUGAGAGGAUGAUCCGCCACACUGGGACUGAGACACGGCCCAGACUCCUACGGGAGGCAGCAGUGGGGAAUAUUGGACAAUGGGGGGAACCCUGAUCCAGCCAUGCCGCGUGUGUGAAGAAGGCCUUAUGGUUGUAAAGCACUUUAAGCGAGGAGGAGGCUCUUUUGGUUAAUACCCAAGAUGAGUGGACGUUACUCGCAGAAUAAGCACCGGCUAACUCUGUGCCAGCAGCCGCGGUAAUACAGAGGGUGCAAGCGUUAAUCGGAUUUACUGGGCGUAAAGCGCGCGUAGGCGGCCAAUUAAGUCAAAUGUGAAAUCCCCGAGCUUAACUUGGGAAUUGCAUUCGAUACUGGUUGGCUAGAGUGUGGGAGAGGAUGGUAGAAUUCCAGGUGUAGCGGUGAAAUGCGUAGAGAUCUGGAGGAAUACCGAUGGCGAAGGCAGCCAUCUGGCCUAACACUGACGCUGAGGUGCGAAAGCAUGGGGAGCAAACAGGAUUAGAUACCCUGGUAG
rnacentral:rRNA from 1 species